UUGACCUACGGGGCGCAGCAGUGGGGAAUAUUGGGCAAUGGGCGCAAGCCUGACCCAGCAACGCCGCGUGAAGGAAGAAGGCUUUCGGGCUGUAAACUUCUUUUAUCAGGGACGAAGCAAGUAACGGUACCUGAUGAAUAAGCCACGGCUAACUACGUGCCAGCAGCCGCGGUAAUACGCAGGUGGCGAGCGUUAUCCGGAUUUACUGGGUGUAAAGGGCGUGUAGGCGGGAGUGCA
rnacentral:rRNA from 1 species